rnacentral:rRNA from 1 species
AACGCUGGCGGCAGGCCUAACACAUGCAAGUCGAGCGGAUGAAGGGAGCUUGCUCCUGGAUAUCAGCGGCGGACGGGUGAGUAAUGCCUAGGAAUCUGCCUGGUAGUGGGGGAUAACGUCCGAGAAACGGGCGCUAAUACCGCAUACGUCCUGAGGGAGAAAGUGGGGGAUCUUCGGACCUCAACGCUAUCAGAUGAGCCUAGGUCGGAUUAGCUAGUUGGUGGGGUAAAGGCCUACCAAGGCGAACGAUCCGUAACUGGUCUGAGAGGAUGAUCAGUCACACUGGAACUGAGACACGGUCCAGAACUCCUACGGGAGGCAGCAGUGGGGAAUAUUGGACAAUGGGCGAAAGCCUGAUCCAGCCAUAGCCGCGUGUGUGAAGAAGGUCUUCGGAUUGUAAAGCACUUUAAGUUGGGAGGAAGGGCAGAUAAGUUAAUACCUUGCUGUUUUGACGUUACCAACAGAAUAAGCACCGGCUAACUUCGUGCAUGGGCGUAAAGCGCCAGCAGCCGCGGUAAUACGAAGGGUGCAAGCGUUAAUCGGAAUUACUGGGCGUAAAGCGCAGCGUAGGUGGUUCAGCAAGUUGGAUGUGAAAUCCCCGGGCUCAACCUGGGAACUGCAUCCGCGUAGGUGGUUCAGCAAGUUGGAUGUGAAAUCCCCGGGCUCAACCUGGGAACUGCAUCCAAAAACUACUGAGCUAGAGUACGGUAGAGGGUGGUGGAAUUUCCUGUGUAGCGGUGAAAUGAAAACUACUGAGCUAGAGUACGGUAGAGGGUGGUGGAAUUUCCUGUGUAGCGGUGAAAUGACGUAGAUAUAGGAAGGAACACCAGUGGCGAAGGCGACCACCUGGACUGAUACUGACACUGCGUAGAUAUAGGAAGGAACACCAGUGGCGAAGGCGACCACCUGGACUGAUACUGACACUAAGGUGCGAAAGCGUGGGGAGCAAACAGGAUUAGAUACCCUGGUAGUCCACGCCGUAAACGAAUGUCGACUAGCCGUUGGGAUCCUUGAGAUCUUAGUGGCGCAGCUAACGCGAUAAGUCGAACCGCCUGGGGAGUACGGCCGCAAGGUUAAAACUCAAAUGAAUUGACGGGGGCCCGCACAAAGCGGUGGAGCAUGUGGUUUAAUUCGAAGCAACGCGAAGAACCUUACCUGGCCUUGACAUGACUGAGAACUUUCCAGAGAUGGAUUGGUGCCUUCGGGAACUCAGACACAGGUGCUGCAUGGACUGUCGUCAGCUCGUGUCGUGAGAUGUUGGGUUAAGUCCCGUAACGAGCGCAACCCUUGUACCUUAGUUACCAGCACCUCGGGUGGGCACUCUAAGGAGACUGCCGGUGACAAACCGGAGGAAAGGUGGGGAUGACGUCAAGUCAUCAUGGCCCUUACGGCCAGGGCUACACACGUGCUACAAAUGGUCGGUACAAAGGGUUGCCAAGCCGCGAGGUGGAGCUAAUCCCAUAAAACCGAUCGUAAGUCCGGAUCGCAGUCUGCAACUCGACUGCGUGAAGUCGGAAUCGCUAGUAAUCGUGAAUACAGAAUGUCACGGUGAAUACGUUCCCGGGCCUUGUACACACCGCCCGUCACACCAUGGGGAAGUGGGGUUGCUCCAGAAGUUAGCUAGUCUAACCGCAAGGGGGGACGGUUACCACCGGAGAUGAUUCAUGACUGGGGUGA